rnacentral:lncRNA from 1 species
UAAAUCAAACUAGAGGCUCUCAAGAGCCUGUAUCGCUCACCUGACUCUACUUGGGUUUUUGAAAUCAUAUAAAAACAGAUAAAAUUUGGCUACAAAGUAACAACACUUGGCCAGCACCUCAUAAGGAAAGGACUAUUCAUGCUAUGUUUGAUUUCAUUCAAUUCCGUGGUUCUCUAGAAGAAGACUUUUGUAUGCAUUUCCCAUAGGGUCCUAUGUUAAACUAAGCCUCCC